UGUAGCUCAGUGGAUAGAGUACCCGGCUACGAACCGGUUGGUCGCAGGUUCAAAUCCUGUUGCCCCGA
rnacentral:tRNA from 1 species